UUCGAGUAUUUUGUUUAAUGAAUUAUUAUUAUACAGAAUAUACGAAGCUCUUAAAUUUUACUCUGAAGCUUAAAACUAGUAGCCUGAAUUGCUAAUUAUAAUUCCAACACAUUCGUCUUUAAACGUUUAAAUUAAACUUUCGAUCGUUAAAUAUUCCAUCUCCGAUCAAUGCCAUCUAUUUUGAUUCUUAUUCAACAAACGGAGCAUAAAAUGAAGGCACUUGGAACAAAAUGGAAUAUAUUAAAUUCAAUUUUUAAAUCGCCCGUCCUCAGAAUAAAAACGAAACCUAUUUUCUCUGGCGCUAAAUGCAGUUCGAAUUUAAACUAUAGAAUUCAAUUUAGUUUGUAAUAUAAUCUAAAUAUUUACUUUGUUCAAUACGAUCUAUCUUCGAUGAUACCAGCCAAAGAUAAAAAAAAAAAAAGAAAGUGGAAACGAUUCCAACAAAAUGCAACAUCUCUAAAUCGAGUUGGAACACACAGGUGCAUAUGCGUGGGCGCGUGCGCGCGCGUGUAAGUGGCUUCAACAAUCAACGGACGACAGAGGAUCCCCCAUGGGAAUCCGAGCGAGCGAAUCGUAGCGGGAUUGAACGCUUGAAAUGGAAUAAUAUCCAAUAAUCUGGCAGCUGAGAGAACGGGAUAAAAAGGGACGUUUUAUCGGAACAUCGCAGUAACCGAGCGAGUUCCCGAACCAUUUCCGGCUCGGCUCGCUUUCUGUCUGUCCCCCGGCCACCGAGCGAAAUUAAUUAUUGAUUUCGGAUACAGGCAUUCACAGCCCUGGAGAGCUUUUAAUCGAAAACGAACCAACCGUCCCGUUCGUUUCCGUUCGACGUGAAUUCAGCGAUUCGCCCUAGGAGAGUCUAUGCUACGCCAUCAUCGCGACUCUUCUUUUAACGAUGGCUAUUUUAAAGAUAAAAUAGGAAUAUACGAAGAAGGAUUUGCUUAUAUAUGCCCUUUUUGUAUACCUAAUUUUUUCAUUAAUUUCUUUCCUUCUUUUUAAUUAUAUAUAAUCUAUCUAUCUAAUUUCGUUUUUUAAAAUAAUUUCUUAAUUUGUAAUGUUUGGUAAUUGUGUAAUAUUUAUUGGUUGAACGUUGGUGGUUUUGAAAUAGAUCUUAGAAAUUUGUGUAGCUCUAUGAGUUGUGUUGUGACUCAUUCUAAUUACACUAUGAAAAAAAUUUUACGUUUCAACUCUGUUAUAUGUAUUUAAUAGCAGAUGAAAUACGAUAUAUGCUUUAUAAAGAUUUUCGACGAAAAUGUCCUAAAUCUCUGUAGCGUUGUUUUUAAAAUUGAUUGAUUGUGAUUAGAUUUAAUCGUGCCCGUUAUAAAACGUUUUUAAAAUACCGUGCACCUGCGUCUAUGCAACCUAUGCUACCGAUGCAAGAUGUCUGUUUCAAGAUUUAAAAAUAAUCUAUUACUGCGCUAUUGUCAAUGUAAAAGUUUGAUUGGAUAUUUUACAAAAGUAAUGAAUAUUAUCUCUUUAAUAAAAUUAAUUAAUUAAUUAAUGUGUAAACAUAGAUGUACAAUCCGUACAAUAAAAUCAAAACUUUCGCACAAAGGAUAGAAACGUAAUUCGAGGAUAGGAGGUUACAAACACCAAAAUACAUGCUGCGAUCUUUUCACCCAACGGUGGACAGAGAUGGAAGGGAUGGAAGUGUACCAGAGGUAUUGGAUUUUGACCGCAAUGAAUCUUCUCUUGAUGACGGCAAAUUCUCAAUUAACUAAAUUAGGAGGUUAAAAAGAAAAAUCGUGUGAAUCGCUUUGUUAUACGAAGAUGAGGAUAUGAAAAGGAUAGUUAUAAAAAGAAUUAUGUUUCAUGCGAUUAUAUUAACGUUAGUAAUGUUUAAAAUUAAUUAAGACGUGUUAAAACAUUAACAAAUGCACGAACACAAAAAUAAUUAGGAAAUGGUAUCAAGGAAUCUUUGAUAUAAGAUUAAAGAUAUAAUAUAUAAUUUACUAUCUUUGCAGGUGAUUUGAAAAAAGGUGAAAAUACAAAAUCUUUCAUCGUGUAGAAAUUCCAUAUUCUUUAAAUGAAAAACGUAUGUGUAAUUUUCGGAUAUACAACUCCCGCGUAGCACAUAUCCGCUAUAUAUAAAUAUACGUAUUCAUGUCAAUAAAAUCAACAUGUUUUAAGUGCCCUAAACUUUAA